GCGGCAGGCCUAACAACAUGCAAGUCGAGCUGAUGAAGCGGAGACAAUGCUCCUGGAUUCAGCGGCGGACGGGUGAGUAAUGCCUAGGAAUCUGCCUGGUAGUGGGGGAUAACGUUCCGAAAGGAACGCUAAUACCGCAUACGUCCUACGGGAGAAAGCAGGGGACCUUCGGGCCUUGCGCUAUCAGAUGAGCCUAGGUCGGAUUAGCUAGUUGGUGAGGUAAUGGCUCACCAAGGCGACGAUCCGUAACUGGUCUGAGAGGAUGAUCAGUCACACUGGAAMCUGAGACACGGUCCAGAACUCCUACGGGAGGCAGCAGUGGGGAAUAUUGG
rnacentral:rRNA from 1 species